rnacentral:tRNA from 1 species
GUCUUCAUCGUGUAACGGUAGCCCACUCGACGUGUAUUUGAGAGGUCCGGGUUCGAGUCCCGGCGAAAUCA